AGGCAGAGCCCGCACCGCAGCCGAGCCCAGUCUGCUGCAGAGUAAGUGCCAGAGCGUCCAGCCUGCGAGUGUCCGGAGCCGCUCCCGGGCGAGGAUACGGGCAGCCCCAGGGGCAGCCUGGAAAUUACUGUCAGGGGAAAGGAAGCAAGAGCCUGUUGCCUGCGUUGCUUCAAAAUAUAUGCCGUCUCUGUGUCUUGGGCUUAAGAAUCAUCCCGAGGAGUGAUAACUACUGUCUGGGAACUGAAUUGGGGGAAAAAAGGACAGCAGAGGAGGAAUGCUUAGGUAACACGGGACUUAAAGCUUUGCUUUCAUUUUGCAACAUACAAAUUGCUGCACGUGGUUUUAUAUAGAGUAUAACAUCAAAGUAGAACGGGGUUCUGCAGUGAAAAAGUCGACAGCUUAGUCAUUUUACUUAAAGGGAGCAGGGAGCCUUAUUAUGGGGUUAGACAGCAAAAUGAAUUUGAUCGUGAUAUAAUCAUGUCUCGUGAUGGUAUCUAACUGUAGUCCUGUCCUAUGGAGUGGAAAAAGCAUACUUCCUUCCUUCUUUCUUAGUUGAAGAAACAAACCCACAGUAUCAAAUACUGAGAGAAGUUUGGGUUUGUUGUACAUGGCUAUUAAACAUCAUCCCGUUCACUGGGCUUGUAAGAAAGGAAAACUGCAUUAAAGCGCUUACUGAUGAAUAUGUGUCUAAGAAAGAAGAAAAAGCAGUACUCAUUUCUGAACAUGGCAAAGAAAUCUGAAGUUACACAUCUCCCCCUAACCACUGAUUUGGCACAGAUGACAAGAAACUAUGUUUUGACUAACCUUUUCCAACUGUCCAAAAUGCUGCAUAUGAAGAUGCUUUAAUUCACAGUCAAAGCACUUGGAUUUUUAUCAAAGCAAGCUGUUGGCAUUGUCAUAACAGUUUCUCUAUACUGAUUAGUUUAGUGUUUUUUAAGCAGCAAGUGAUGCAUAAAUGGAUGGACGUGUACCUAGAAAACCCUGUGAGAAGUCUUUCUUUGGAUCCUGGGAAUUUUUAUGGAUUACAGUAAUUCUUGCAAUAAUCCCUGCUGUUAACUGGUCAUGCAGUUGUUCUGGAAUGAAUCUAUGAAUACCGUAACAGAUAAAUCAGUCUGACAAGGAAAACACUGAUGUUGGAAGAUCUGUGAACAUGAUGCAUGUGAAUAAUUUCCCCUUUAGGAGGCAUUCAUGGAUAUGGUAAGUACUCUGUAUUCUUCUUCAUUAAGCUGACAGAACACAUUCCUCUCAGCCUUCUUGAAGUGCAACAAAAGAGGUAAAAACCAGAACAACAAAAAUGAAGGGCCACUUGGUAAGAAUCCACUUUGGUUUACAUGCUCAUCUACUUUAUUUUUGGCGGAAUGUGACCGUUACAGAGGAUUAGUUUGUGUAGAAUCGGUGAGAGGAGAGAAGCUGAUUAGAGCAACUGUUAAUGCUUAUUGAAUUUGCAGGCUGCCCGGAUGAACUGCAGGUGGCACUGCCUCCUCUCCGUGGUCCAGCAUCACAUCACUAAUACAGUCUUUUUAGUUCCUAAACAGUUGUCCAAAGCAUAGCCAGAGAAUUUUGAUGACAGAAAUCUCUUGUUUGGCAGUUAUUUGGAUCAUACCAGAGAUGGAAAAAAUUGCCCUUUUGGGAAAAGGAUUACAUAAGGUAUCUGCAGUGGUGGUGAUGCUUUUAUUAUUAAGUAGAAUUUGAUCUUCCUUCUUUGAAGGAGAAAAAGGCAAUAACAAGCAGAAGUAAAAAGUGAAAAAGACAGAAAAAUGCCACUAAGUAUGGUUCUUCACAGUUUGUCUCACAACUAUUUGGUGAAGCAAUCUCAGGUAAAACAGAUGGCUUCUGAGCUUCUCCAAGAUCUGGCUGUCCUGUGCUGAAUUGAAGCUAUUUACAUUACUGACAUCUUCCACUAUAGUUGUAGUCACAGAAAUGCAGGAUGCACCCUUAGCCAGCUAGGACUGAUUGCUGUUAGGCCAAGGAGAGUAAAAAAGAGGAAGAGAGGAGGAGGGAAAUGAAAACAAGAUAAUUACAAGGAAAAUGACACAAGUGAAGGUUUUUGCAGUAGAAA
rnacentral:lncRNA from 1 species